rnacentral:lncRNA from 1 species
CAGGUUGCAACUCUUUGCUACUUCUGAAGUAAUCAUGUAUUAGGUUUCUACUAUUGAAUCAACGGUUGCUUCACGUUUGGAACCUUUUCAACAUACUGCUUAAGAGUAAACCAGUUUCUCCACAUGAAAUCUUGAGAAGAUUUCAUCUAUGUAAAUUGGGAUGAGUUAAGCAAUCUUCUAGAUCUACCUCUAUAGAUCAAGUUGCUUAUCCCAUAUCGUUCAUGAAUAAAUCUUUUAACAACUAUUAUUUCAACGAUUUGAAACAUAGGGAUGUCGUUUUCUAUAAUAUUAGGAAUA